AUGCGGGGCGAGAGAACAGCCCAAAUCAGGACACUGCCCAUCGCUGUGGAGGUGGACAGUGACGGUGCUGCGGCCCUAGCCAGACCCUUCAUGCUGAAAGGCGAUGCAGGGGGCGCCCCGGGACCGGAAGCACCGGCGCCCGGAGCCAGGGGAACGGGGGUCUGGACGUUUGCUGACUGCGGGUCCCCGCACGCUCCGGCUCCGCCGGGGCCCGCUCCAGCCGAAGAGGCCGUUUUUGCGUCCCGCCAAGCCCCGUCACCUUCCCGCGGCGUCUGGAAGAUGGAACUCCCUGACCGGGAAAACAAAACCGCUGUGGCUGUGAGGACCGGGACGGGUGGCGUUGGGGGCCACGGCUGCGUGCCGCGCUUCGGGCGAGCUCCUUGCCUACCGCGGCGGUCCGGGCCCUCCCCAGGCCGUGGCCCUGUCCGGGCCUUCAGUCCUCGCCAGGGCCGGCGGUGGACUCGCUUUUCCAGCAAGGCCCGGGGAAGCCCGCGCGGCCCCAAGCCCUGUGUCCCCUCCAAGGGCUGGGAGUGGAAGGACAGCGUGCUUCUCAUGGAAAAGACCUCAGCAGGACACGCACAGAAAUCCAGGCAACUGGGACGGAAACCAUGUCCUCCAGGAAGGGAGUGGUCCAUCAGCCCAGGGAUCGCCAAGAGGGAUCGCGGUUCCUUCACCAGCUUCGUGCUGGGCGUGCUGGUGGUCUGCGUGGUGCGCACCUGCUGGGUCCUGCAGGGCAUCGUCUACACCCGCCCUAUCUCCGGCGACGCCAGCUGCAUCCAGCCCUACAUAGCGCAUCGGCGCCAGCUACAGCUGAGCGUGUACCCCACGACGCGGUCCCACCUGGGUGCUGAGAACAGCAUCGACCUGGUCUUGAAGGUGGAAGACUUCGAUGUGGAGUCCAACUUUGAAAGGACGGUUCCUGUGUCUGUACCGAAGAAAACAAGAAAUAACGGGGGGCGGCAUGCCUGCAUCCUCCUCCAGCAAGCUGGGAUCCUGCCUUGGCACGAGGGGAAGCAGGUGCACCCGUCAGUCCUCUGACCACUGCCGUGGUCCCCAAGCAGGAAGAAAUCAACCUGCUCCCUGGGGAUUCUGAUACACAGCAGCAGAUGGAGGCGGAGAAGAAGCCAACUGGCGCGCCGAUGAGCCGCUGUCCCACGGGAGACCGCGGCUGGCGCUGAACGCGACGGCGGACAACUUCGUCUUCCGCUGGCGCUCCCUGCCAGCCGACGUGCAUCGGCACAUGAAGAUGGUCCAGCUGGAGAAGACCGUGCACCACCUCCCCAUCCUGCUCAUCCGCCAGGUCGGCAACCGCGGGAAGGGCCUGAGGGUCAUAAACCGCUCCCCACAGAGCUGCCCCUCCCGGUGUCCUACGACAAGGUCUCGCUGGGGCUGCUGUGCUUCUGGAUCCACAUGUAGGUUGCCGUGAACUCCCUGCGGCAGUUCGGGUUUUCAGAGAAAGAUGCUGAUGAGGUGAAAGGAAUCUUUGUAGAUACCAACUUGUACUUCCUGGCGCUGACCUUUUCCUUCUGAGCCUUCCAUCUUCGCUUUGAUUUCCUGGCCUUUAAAAAUGACAUCAGUUUCUGGAAGAAGAGCAUGAUUGGCAUGUCCACCAGGGCAGUGCUCUGGAGCUGCUUCAGCAUGUGGUCAUCUUCCUGUUCCUGCUGGAAGAGAAGAGGAGCCUGCUGGUGCUGGUCCCAGCGGGCAUGGGAGCCGCUAGGAAGCUGUGGAAAGUGAAGAAGGCAUUGAAGAUGACUGUUCCUCGUAGAGGCCUGAGACUGGAACUUCAGGUUGGCACUUACAGAGAAUCCAAGAGGAAAACCAAGGAGUACCAUACUCAGGCCAUGAAGAACUUGUCUUACCUGCUGUACCCUCUCUGCAUGGAGGGUGCUGUCUAUUCAUUCCUGAACAUCAAGUAUAAGAGCUAGUACUUCUGGUUAAUAACAGCUUUGUCAGCGGGGUCUAUGCCUUCGGCUUCCUUUUCAUGCUGCUCCAGCUCUUCCUGAACUACAAGCUGAAGUCAGUGGCACAUCUGCCCUGGAAGGCCUUCACCUACAAAGCUUUCAAUACCUUCAUUGACUAUGUCUUUGCCUUCAUCAGCACCAUGCCCACUUGGUGUUUCUGGUCUACCUGUCCCAGUGGUGGCUUUAUCCUGUGGAUAAACGCAGAGUGAAUGAGUCAGGGGAGUCCUAUGAGGAGGCUACACGCACACCCCACACGGACUGAAGGCUGCCCACCCUUGGGGCUGCCCAGGCUGCUGCCAGCCAAGUGUAACUUGAAUUGUCAAUGAGUAUUUUUGGAAGCAUCUGGUGGCAUUCCUAGACAUUGCGUCUUCUGUGUUGCCAGAAUCCCUUUGGACAUUGCUCAGACCUCUCCCAAGUUCCCUUCAUGUCAGAUUCAGAGCUGGUAGUGCUUACAAUGCCCCCCACGUGUGAACAGCUGUCUCGGUUACCGAGCUGCACACUGCCGGUCACCCUGAAUUGUGGUGCCUCCCGGCACCCGAGUGUCCAGUGGGGGUUGGCCAUGUCCUCACACUGGCAGACGCGGGAGCCCUCGCAGGUACGGGGGCUGUUGGAUUAACAUUUCAGGUGGUUUUUUAUGUGCUCCUUAUGUGAAUUUCAAACACAUAUGGAAUUCAUUGGGUGUGGACUCUGGGAUCAAAGGCUCUUUCCUCUUUUGAGAGUUGGUUGUUUUAAAGCUUAAUCUAUGUAUGUUUCUGUUUUUAAAUACACAUUUUCUGGCUGUGGUAUUUUUCUUGACCUGGUAUAAUAAUGGAAAGUACUUCAGAUAUUUGAGUUUAACCCUUUUCCAGAAAGUAAUACAUAAUAUGGAUUUAUUAAUGCAUUAAAAGAGCAAAUUUUAA